rnacentral:rRNA from 1 species
GACGAACGCUGGCGGCGUGCUUAACACAUGCAAGUCGAACGGAAAGGCCCUGCUCUUGUGGGGUGCUCGAGUGGCGAACGGGUGAGUAACACGUGAGUAACCUGCCCUUGACUUUGGGAGAACUUCAGGAGACUGGGGCUAAUACCGGAUAGGAGAUCCUGCUGCAUGGUGGGGGUUGGAAAGUUUCGGCGGUUGGGGAUGGACUCGCGGCUUACCAGCUUGUUGGUGGGGUAGGGGGUGACCAAGGCUUUGACGGGUAGCCGGCCUGAGAGGGUGACCGGCCACACUGGGCCUGAGAGACGGCCCAGACGCCUACGUGAGGCAGCAGGGGGAAAGCUUGCACAAUGGGCGCAAGCCUGAUGCAGCAACGCCGCGUGCGGGAUAACGGCCUUCUUGUUGAAAACCGCUUUCGCCUGAAACGAAGCGUGAUUGACGGUAAUGGAUAAAAAAGCCCCGGCUAACUACGUG